rnacentral:rRNA from 1 species
AGCGGACAGAUGGGAGCUUGCUCCCUGAUGUUAGCGGCGGACGGGUGAGUAACACGUGGGUAACCUGCCUGUAAGACUGGGAUAACUCCGGGAAACCGGGGCUAAUACCGGAUGGUUGUUUGAACCGCAUGGUUCAAACAUAAAAGGUGGCUUCGGCUACCACUUACAGAUGGACCCGCGGCGCAUUAGCUAGUUGGUGAGGUAACGGCUCACCAAGGCAACGAUGCGUAGCCGACCUGAGAGGGUGAUCGGCCACACUGGGACUGAGACACGGCCCAGACUCCUACGGGAGGCAGCAGUAGGGAAUCUUCCGCAAUGGACGAAAGUCUGACGGAGCAACGCCGCGUGAGUGAUGAAGGUUUUCGGAUCGUAAAGCUCUGUUGUUAGGGAAGAACAAGUACCGUUCGAAUAGGGCGGUACCUUGACGGUACCUAACCAGAAAGCCACGGCUAACUACGUGCCAGCAGCCGCGGUAAUACGUAGGUGGCAAGCGUUGUCCGGAAUUAUUGGGCGUAAAGGGCUCGCAGGCGGUUUCUUAAGUCUGAUGUG